UACGGGGGGGGCAAGCGUUGUUCGGAAUCACUGGGCGUAAAGGGCGCGUAGGCGGCCUGGUAAGUAGGGGGUGAAAUCCUGCGGCUUAACCGCAGGGCUGCCUUCUAAACUGUCAGGCUUGAGCACGGUAGAGGCAGAUGGAAUUCCCGGUGUAGCGGUGGAAUGCGUAGAGAUCGGGAAGAACAUCAGUGGCGAAGGCGGUCUGCUGGGCCGUUGCUGACGCUGAGGCGCGACAGCGUGGGGAGCAAACAGG
rnacentral:rRNA from 1 species